UACGUAGGGUGCGAGCGUUGUCCGGAAUUACUGGGCGUAAAGAGCUCGUAGGUGGUUGUCGCGUUGUUCGUGAAAACUCACAGCUCAACUGUGGGCGUGCGGGCGAUACGGGCAGACUAGAGUACUGCAGGGGAGACUGGAAUUCCUGGUGUAGCGGUGGAAUGCGUAGAUAUCUGGAGGAACACCGGUGGCGAAGGCGGCAUCCUGGACCGGUAUUGACGCUGAGGAGCGAAAGCUGAGGGGAGCAAACAGGG
rnacentral:rRNA from 1 species